AAACUGGAUAGGUGGUUUUUCCAGGGUAAGACCUGUCCACUGCAUCCCAGGCAGGCUGACCCCUGCGAGUUUCCCCAAGUGUGGGAAACUCAACCGCACAAUUUUGUGAUGAGGGAUUGCGUUCACACUUUCUUCAU
rnacentral:snRNA from 14 species